rnacentral:misc_RNA from 1 species
UUGGAGAAGACUCGCAAAGUACUGUCUGAGAAGAUUGCACAAUUGAGUUCCGCAAUAGAUGAGGUUUCUGCUCAGUUGCACACAGAUGAUGUCUCAAAUGGAACUGCAGUGAAUUCAGAUGAGAUCCAGACUUCUACAUGAGAAAAUGUUUGUUCAAAUCUCAAUGCAAGCUGAUCAGCACAAAAAAAAAAAAAUCUUGUGUUUACAAGAGGAUCAGUGAUCAGAAGCCUAUGAUGUUGCUAUUGUAAUGCCUAUUGCUUCUGUGCUUCACAUGCCAUAACUUACUUCUUCUUCUUCUUCAGUUGAACCUCUUACCCUUUUUUUUUAGAAUUGCUCCGUCUUACCUGAUGCAAUAUAAAACAAGCAUAUAUUACAUUUGAUUAUUGAGUUAUUAAUCGAAUCAUGAGAAUUUUUGAAGCACC